UGUACAAUGGUCCAGUUGGUUAAGAGAUCCAUCUCAAUUAUUCAUUGAUGAUGAUUGCUUAUGGAAGACAAGGGUUCAAAUCCCUCUUGUACCC
rfam:Gymnopus luxurians FD-317 M1 unplaced genomic scaffold GYMLTscaffold_109, whole genome shotgun sequence.